rnacentral:rRNA from 1 species
AUUGAACGCUGGCGGCAUGCCUUACACAUGCAAGUCGAACGGCAGCGGGGACUUCGGUCCGCCGGCGAGUGGCGAACGGGUGAGCAAUGUAUCGGAACGUACCAUUGAGUGGGGGAUAACUAUCCGAAAGGAUAGCUAAUACCGCAUAUUCUCUCCGGAGGAAAGCAGGGGACCGCAAGGCCUUGCGCUCAUUGAGUGGCCGAUAUCAGAUUAGCUAGUUGGUGAGGUAAAGGCUAACCAAGGCGACGAUCUGUAGCGGGUCUGAGAGGAUGAUCCGCCACACUGGAACUGAGACACGGUCCAGACUCCUACGGGAGGCAGCAGUGGGGAAUUUUGGACAAUGGGGGCAACCCUGAUCCAGCCAUGCCGCGUGAGUGAAGAAGGCCUUCGGGUUGUAAAGCUCUUUCGGCCGGGAAAAAAUCGCAUGGGUUAAUACCCUGUGUGGAUGAUGGUACCGGAAUAAGAAGCACCGGCUAACUACGUGCCAGCAGCCGCCGUAA